rnacentral:lncRNA from 1 species
GACAGUAGUAAGAUGGUAUCUCAGUGUAGGGGAAGCUGUAGCCUACUUAGGGGCUGGCUACAGGUGUGCCUGACCAUGCUUUCGAGGGCGUGGUCAGGGUGGCGUAGAGUGACUGCGUUUUCUCUUUCGGUUUCACUUUGGUACUUGCUGGACAGACUGCUGCCACGCCGGCUGGCUAGGUCGCUCUCGCUGGAAUUAAAGGUGUGAGCCACUGUGCCUAGCACUGAGGAAGAAGUGCAGAACUUUGUGCAUAUUGGGCAAGCGCUCUGCCAACCGAGCUGCAUGAGCUGCAUCCUUAGCCCAGACACUUUCUUUAAGGGGCUCCUGUGGAGAGCAGCUGUGGCAUUGGUGGCCACAGUUCCUACUGGUGGGUCAUGGGCUCCUGGCACAGCAUGCCCUUGGCCACUGCGGUCAUCAGGCUGGUUGGAGGAUAGCAUGCAGCUGGCAGCUGUGCCAACCAGGAGCCAGAGGGGCAGACACCACAGCCAGUACAAAAGGAAGCAGCCUCCCUCCAAAGAGGGCUUUAAUUGAUGUGCUACAAACUGUUGUUACUUAAAGCGCAUGAUUUGGACCAGAUGUAAUGGUGCACACCUGCAAUCCCUGACUUGACUGAGUGCCAGAAGUUCAAGACUAGGAUUGACAAUAUAACGAGUUCUAAAGCCAGC